AGAAAUGGAAUGAAAGAAUGUUUUGUGACAAUAGUUGGGGUCAUUUUUCUUUAAAAGUCUUACUUCCAACUUUCAGAAAGGCACAAGCAUUGGAGACCAGCUGCCUUCACAAUCAUGCCCCCCCGCCCCUUUCCUGGUAGUUGCUGUCGUUGUACCAAAAAGUGCAUAAGAGUGGAAGUUACUUAACCAUCGUUUCAAUCCUGGGGACAUUGAGUCAUUGCUAACCAGGGCCCGUCACUGCUAGCCAAAACAAGACUUCAUAGGUGCAUAUCAGAUGCCCGUCGCAGGUGUGUCAGCCUGUGACCAACUGGGAAAGCAGAUGCAGCUCGCCUCAAAGAAAUGCAUCAUCAACAUGCACGAGCUGCUUCAGAGACUGAGACUGAGAAGAAAUCAGCCAAAACAAACCUCUAAGACACUGGGGGGCGAGGCAAAGGACGGAAGUAUGUGAAAAAAAAAAA
rnacentral:lncRNA from 1 species